UAUAUUUAGCAAUAAUUUAAGUGCUGCUUCCCUGAACUGAGUGCUUUACUGUGUCUAAUAUAAACUGAACCGCUUGUAAUGAAAAGGUUGACCCUGUCUCUACACACAGUGCAAACCUGACAGAAGUGAAAUGAGAACAGUUACUGCUGAAUGGCUUAAACAAAACAAACCAGAAAAUCCUGCAAAGUGGCACACAUUGUUUAAACUGUGCUGUUGAAGCCACUGAAAAUUUAAGGCUGUUCAAAUGAAGCUGCCCUGGAAUGAUUAUUCAGAUCCCAAAGGUGGCACUUUGUUAUGAAUUUGAACGUCAGGCUUUGACAAAACACAAGUAUUAGGAUCAAAUCUAAGGAGAACUGGAGCUAUUUUCCCUAUUGGCAGUGUGGUUCAGCUUGGUUAUAAGUGGUAAAGUAAGGAUGUACAUUUUAGACCUAAAAGAACAAGAAUAGAAGGUGUGUCACGACCAGCAGUAUUUCCUGUUUGAGGGUGUCACUGACCUGCACCAAUGCCUGGAGGAAAGAAGGUGACAGUGGAACUGGCACACUGUGGACACUAUCCAUGGGAAUCUGGGACAAAUGGCUGUAGAAAAUUAAAUGUCCUGUUGGAUCCUCAGGGGCUUUAGCUUUUCAGAUCUCGGCCAGAUCGUUUGCAAGCCGAGCAAAAGUGGCAGAAGAAGCUUUGAGGUGGAGAAAGACAACAUCAAACACAAAGCACUUAUCUGUAAACCUGAGCAGUGCACAAUUCCACUGAGGAAAAACAAUGAUGUAAUCAAAAUUAAAUGGAGUCCAGGACAUUA